rnacentral:lncRNA from 10 species
UGGAGACUAGAGGUCAGAAAUCAAGAAACAAGCCAGAAGGCAAGAUCAGGCUUGCCAUUCUUCUGAGAAGGACCCCAGAAUCUCACCUCUCCAGAUGGCCUAAGCACUAUUCACAAGCACAAAGACAUGGAAUCAACCUAAAUGCCCAUCAGUGGAAGACUGAAUAAUGGAAAUCUGGUACAUAUACGCCACGGAAUACUAGGCAGCCAUAAAAAAGAAAGGCAUCCCACAUUUUGAGUAAUAUGGAUGGAGCUGGAGACCAUUAUCCUUAGCAAACUAAUGGAAGAACAGGAAACCAAAUACUGUAUGUUCUCACUUAUAAGUGGAUGCUAAAUGAUGAGAACACAUGGGCAUUUAAAGGGGAACAACACACACUGGGGCCUAUUGGAGGGUGGAGAGUGGGAGGAGGGAGAGGGUCAGGAAAAAUAACUAAUGAAUACUAGGCUUAAUACCUGGGUGAUGAAAUAAUCUGUACAACUAACUCCUGUGACACAUGUUUACCUAUAUAACCAACCGGC